rnacentral:misc_RNA from 1 species
UCUGUUAUGAUAAUAUGCCUUUGAAUGGGCAACGGGGAAUCCGUUGAGCUCUCUAUUUUUUCCUUUGUUAUUUUUUUUUUUUUAAGCCAAACCGUUAAUACACGUAAAACAAGUUUAUUAAAUUUUAUGAUUCAGUUUGUAAUAUUGAGAGAAGACCACAGUUGGGCUUCAGGUCCUCCCACCUCUCCCCUGCACAAUUUUUUUUUUUUUUAAAAGGCAAAUUUUAGACUCUCCUAGUAGUUACUCUUUCAUCUGUAAUGCAGCAACACAAUCAUGCAUUUUCCAGGCAACGUCAAGAGUUGUACAAAAAUAAGAGCUCAAAGCCCAUCAAACAUGGGCUAUAUCUUAAAGUUCUAAACUUUGCAUUAUGGUUGAAGUGCAAAAACUGAACAGCAUAAACCAGCAGAUCACUUUUCUCAAGGGCAUUACAACAUUUCCCUGAACUCGUCUAGAAUUAACAAACAAUGAGGUGGCUCAGACUCGGUUGUAUGCAACUGAUUUGCUGAAGAGGCGACGAAUAUAUACAACCUGAAGUAUGCUUACAAUAGCCAGUAAAAUGUACUCUCCCACUGUGUAGCCUAUAACACGCUUUCGUGUACUCUCAGUGGCUGCAGAAGAAACAAAUAAUAUCUUAAAUCAGCAAUAUGUUGCAAACUGAUAUUGUUUGAAACAUUAAAAGAUACGUAUGAAGCAAAUUCAGCCAAUUUGUAUCAGGUAGGUAUACCCGGGAAAAAAAGAAAUUACUCUGAAAAGCGUCAAACACACCAUUAUCAAAAUCCAUUGCCUAUGACGAAUCCCUUUAGAAGAGCAUGUCUUGUCGAAAUUGUUCAUAAAUAUCGCCUUAAUCCAGCGCCCCCCCUCCCCAACUACGGCGAUGUCGAGCAUCACGUGCUUUUAAGUACUUCUGCUCUGCCGUAACAGACUCCAAUGCUUCUCUCAGCUCAGCAAUUUUAACAUUAAUAGGAUUCAGAUGCUCUGUAAGAAACAAACAUGUAAACAUCAAAAGUACAGAAGGAAAAAAAUCUCUUCAGUGCCAAUAUAACCUAAAAUAUGAUAAUUGAACCAAUUGGCUUAAAUAAACAGUUAAAUUUCAUUAGUUUUUUAAUAGUUCAUAAGUUGAAACACAUAGAGAUGGAUGUAGAAUAAAAGAUACAUUAAUGAAAGAUAAUUUUACAAACCAUCUUUCGCAAGAUCAUGCUCAUUGGGAAUAUGACCCACAUGAAUAUAGAAAGAGACAGUCUCUGGUGUUGAGUAGGGAUUGUGAAAACAGAAUUUGUACAUUCCACUUCUUGGGGCCUUAAAUUCAAACUUGUCCCCAGAUGUCCCCUUCACAGAGUGAACCACAUUAUCUGCAGGAGAUGUCACCUGCAUGACAGCAAAUCAAGAUGAAGACGUAAUAAAUUAAAGCAAUGCCGCCUUGCCACAGGUAAUCCUAGCAUCUGGUAUCAGUUCAUAACAAGUCAACACAAGUUUAUACUUGUGCCCUGCUAAUUAAAAAGCAGGACAGAUCAAUGAAAACACAGAACAAGUUGCAGACCCUAAAAGGAUUCAUUGCAUGAAUAAUAGUAAUAUCUAAACUACCCCAUCAUCACUAAUCUAACUACACCUGGGCACACACAAGCAUGAACACUGAUGAAACUUUUAUUUUAGCAUACAAGACAACUAAUAAGUUAUUACAAUUCAAUUAUAUCCGACCAUCAUUUAUAUGCAAUUCAUUAGAACUUUAGGCUACCAAUUCAAGAUCAAAAAAAAAUUACAAGCAUUCCCUCUACCACCCCUCCCCUUGAGACACACGGAUAUCUUGAUAGUCUCAAUAUAUUUUCCACUUUUCCUGCAUCUAAAUCAUACUACACAUGAUUUGUAUGUUGAUAUCCUGAUUCUAUCCAUAGAUGUGUGUGCAGUUAACCUCAAUAAAAGAAAAGGGGAAGUAAGAAAAUUUGAGAAGAGAGACAUUUAACUCAAAUUAUAGUUGAACUCUUAUUCAAGAAUACCAUCUCUUCAAUAUUUGUAUCUAUUAUAACAAGCACUCAAAUUUAAGGCACACACACAAAUCGCACA